UAGCGUAGGGUGCAAGCGUUGUCCGGAAUUAUUGGGCGUAAAGAGCUCGUAGGCGGUCUGUUAACGUCGGCUGUGAAAACCUGGGGCUCAACCCCGGGCCUGCAGCCGAUACGGGCAGACUAGAAUUCGGUAGGGGAGACUGGAAUUCCUGGUGCAGCGGUGAAAUGCGCAGAUAUCAGGAGGAACACCGGUGGCGAAGGCGGUUCUCUGGGCCUGUACUGACGCUGGAGGAGCGAAAGCGUGGGGAGCGAACAGG
rnacentral:rRNA from 1 species